GAUGAACGCUGGCGGCGUGCCUAAUACAUGCAAGUCGAGCGAACAGACGAGGAGCUUGCUCCUCUGACGUUAGCGGCGGACGGGUGAGUAACACGUGGAUAACCUACCUAUAAGACUGGGAUAACUUCGGGAAACCGGAGCUAAUACCGGAUAAUAUAUUGAACCGCAUGGUUCAAUAGUGAAAGACGGUUUUGCUGUCACUUAUAGAUGGAUCCGCGCCGCAUUAGCUAGUUGGUAAGGUAACGGCUUACCAAGGCAACGAUGCGUAGCCGACCUGAGAGGGUGAGCGGCCACACGGGAACUGAGACACGGUCCAGACUCCUACGGGAGGCAGCAGUAGGGAAUCUUCCGAGAGGGGCGAAAGCCUGACGGAGCAACGCCGCGUGAGUGAUGAAGGUCUUCGGAUCGUAAAACUCUGUUAUUAGGGAAGAACAAAUGUGUAAGUAACUAUGCACGUCUUGACGGUACCUAAUCAGAAAGCCACGGCUAACUACG
rnacentral:rRNA from 1 species